rnacentral:rRNA from 1 species
UACGGAGGGUGCAAACGUUGCUCGGAAUCAUUGGGCGUAAAGCGCACGUAGGCGGCUCGUUAAGUCGGAUGUGAAAGCCCUCGGCUCAACCGAGGAAGUGCAUACGAAACUGGCGAGCUUGAAUAUGGAAGAGGGUCGCGGAAUUCCCGGUGUAGAGGUGAAAUUCGUAGAUAUCGGGAGGAACACCAGUGGCGAAGGCGGCGACCUGGGCCAAUACUGACGCUGAGGUGCGAAAGCGUGGGGAGCAAACAGG